rnacentral:lncRNA from 1 species
UUUGUGUUUAUCAAAAGGGAGAUUAUCCUGACUGGACUAAACUUAAUUAGAGAUGCUUUUAAGAGAAAAAGACACCUCUCACAUGUUGCUUCCAGUAGGGAAGGCAGGAGGAUCCCAAGGAAGAGGGAAAAAAGGGGGUCUCAUUCAUGCAAUAAAUAAUCACCUCUCAUCAGGGAUAGCUGAAGAUAAACAGAGGAGACCACAACAUGACCACAUCAAUGAGAGAAAAAAGGAAACGUGGUCGAAAGAAUUUGCUGGGAUUAUGGAGCAAUAUUUACUAA